AUACGGAGGGUGCAAGCGUUACUCGGAAUCACUGGGCGUAAAGCGCGCGCAGGCGGCUAUUUAAGUUGGAUGUGAAAGCCUACGGCUCAACCGUAGAACUGCAUCCAAAACUAUUUAGCUAGAGUGUGGGAGAGGAAGAUGGAAUUAGUUGUGUAGGGGUAAAAUCCGUAGAGAUAACUAGGAAUACCAAAAGCGAAGGCAAUCUUCUGGAACACUACUGACGCUGAGGCGCGAAAGCGUGGGUAGCAAACAGGAUUAGAUACCCUUGUAGUCC
rnacentral:rRNA from 1 species